rnacentral:rRNA from 1 species
UCGGAAUUACUGGGCGUAAAGCGAGCGUAGGCGGCUUUAUAAGUCAGAUGUGAAAUCCCCGGGCUUAACCUGGGAACUGCAUCUGAAACUGUAGAGCUAGAGUAUGGGAGAGGGAGGUAGAAUUCCAGGUGUAGCGGUGAAAUGCGUAGAGAUCUGGAGGAAUACCGAUGGCGAAGGCAGCCUCCUGGCAUAAUACUGACGCU